rfam:Oryza meridionalis cultivar OR44 (W2112) chromosome 1, whole genome shotgun sequence.
UUUAAAUGCAGUUACGAGUUUAUAUGUCUAACAUUUAAUCACAUGGUUUAUUUAAAAAAAUUAAUUAAUAUUUUUAUUGUUAUUAGAUGAUAGAAUAUGAAUGACACUUUAUGCGUGCCUAUUUUUUUUAAAAGAAAUUAAAUAAGAUAGACGGUUAAAUGUUGGACACGGAAAUCCACGACUGCACUUAAA